CUGGGUUNAAGAGUGCGUAGGCGGCUUCUUAAGUCAAUGGUGAAAGCUUAGCGCUUAACGCUAGAAGUGCCACUGAUACUGGGAAGCUUGAGUCAAGAAGAGGUAAGCAGAAUUCAUAGUGUAGCAGUGAAAUGCUUAGAUACUAUGAGGAAUACCAACAGCGAAGGCAGCUUACUGGUCUUGUACUGACGCUGAGGCACGAAAGCGUGGGUAGCGAACAGGAUUAGAUACCCUGGUAGUCCACGCCGUAAACGAUGAUCACUCGAUGUACACGCUAGUCGUGUGUGUCUAAGCAAAAGCAUUAAGUGAUCCACCUGGGGAGUACGCUCGCAAGAGUGAAACUCAAAGGAAUUGACGGGAGUCCGCACAAGCGGUGGAGCAUGUGGUUUAAUUCGAUAAUACGCGAGGAACCUUACCUGGGCUCGAAUGUCUCUGCUACCUCGAGAAAUCGAGGGUUCCUUCGGGACAGAGUACAAGGUGCUGCAUGGCUGUCGUCAGCUCGUGUCGUGAGAUGUUGGGUUAAGUCCUAUAACGAGCGCAACCCCUUUACUUAGUUGCCAGCACAUCAUGGUGGGGACUCUAAGUAGACUGCCUGCGUAAGUAGGAGGAAGGAGGGGAUGAGGUCAAGUCAUCAUGGCCCUUAUAUUCUGGGCGACACACGUGCUACAAUGGUUAAGACAAUGGGAUGCAAACUUGUAAAAGGAAGCUAACCUCAAAAACUUAAUCGAAGUUCGGAUUGUCGACUGAAACUCGUCGACAUGAAGCUGGAAUCGCUAGUAAUCGCCGGUCAGCCACACGGCGGUGAAUACGUUCUCGGGCCUUGUACACACCGCCCGUCACGUUAGGGAAGCUGAUUAUGCCCGAAGUCAUUG
rnacentral:rRNA from 1 species